ACUGGCCGCUCACUUUGGGGAGUAGCCUGCUUCCAUCCCCCCGGAAGCGCCCGCGUCAACAUUCUUGGCCCCACGGCCAUGGCGCUGGCAGCCCUCGCGGCUUGGCGAGACCAUGGGUUUCCUUGUGCCUAA
rnacentral:sRNA from 2 species